rnacentral:rRNA from 1 species
AUUGAACGCUGGCGGCAGGCUUAACACAUGCAAGUCGAACGAGUGGCGGACGGGUGAGUAAUGCUUGGGAAUCUGGCUUAUGGAGGGGGAUAACGACGGGGCACUGUCGCUAAUACCGCGUUCCAUAGGAUGGGCCCAAGUGGGAUUAGGUAGGUGGUGGGGUAAUGGCAUACCAAGCCGACUAUCUCUAGCUGGUCUGAGAGGAUGACCAGCCACACCGGGACUGAGACACGGCCCGGACUCCUACGGGAGGCAGCAGGGGGGAAUAUUGCGCAAUGGGGGCAACCUGACGCAGCCAUGCCGCGUGAAUGAAGAAGGCCUUCGGGUUGUAAAGUUCUUUCGGUUACGAGGCGUUAAUCACAGAAGAAGCACCGGCUAACUCCGUGCCAGCAGCCGCGGUAAUUC